CGUUAUGUGCACAUUACAGAUAUACAGCGAAGCAUAAUGCACUUUUCACAAACAGUAAACAAACGUAUCACGAGGAACAUUUGAGUCGAGACCUUAUUAUUAUGACGUCUUGUUGCCCUUUUGGUGUUAAGGAUGGGUGGAGAAAAUAAGAUUGACAGGCUACUGUGCCAAGACUGUAAGAGAUUCAAACUUUCUUAUCUGGUUAACCAUUCAAAAUGCUUGACAUAACACCUCUUUGCAUCAGCCACUGACUUUUAACUGCACGCAAAAUGCACAUCUGGAACCAACCAUCUGUCUCCAUAUUUUCUCCGAAAAGCAGUGCUGAGACGACAACUGCCAGAAACUUCUGCCAUGCUGCUUGAAUGUCUGGAGUGAAGGCACGACCGAGCUGGGAAGCCACAACAAUGGUCACGCAAUCACCGAGGAGCUUUGAGGAGAAAAUUACAAGGUUCAAAUUCAAAAGCGAAGACCCACCCUGAAGUUGUCCGGAUCCACGUGAAGCUUCUCGGAGUGCAACAUGCUCAAGGGCGCAUAGGUGUUCUUGAUGUCAUCCAUGCUCUGGACCGCUCUUCCGAGU